rnacentral:rRNA from 1 species
AAGGUUUCCGUAGGUGAACCUGCGGAAGGAUCAUUGUCGAAGCCUGCCUAGCAGAACGACCCGCGGACUUGUUCCUCAACACACGCCGGGGCGGUGGGGAGCCCUCGCCCUCUGGCGAGCCAUGGGGAGCGGCCCUUGCGGCAGCUCUCUUCUCGGCUCACGAACAAAACCCCGGCGCGGGAUGCGCCAAGGAACAUGAAAAAGAAAAGGAGCACGGCCCCUCGACUCGGGCGCGGGGUGCGUCUUCUCUCGCAAUGAGCAAAAGAAUA